CGGCCAUAAUAAUUUAAAUCAAUUAAACCAAGCAAUCUCAUUAAAGUAAACCAACAAUAUUAUCCAGCGGAAGACUUAACCAAAAAUCCAAUAAUACGAUUCCAUUAAACCAACAAGUUCAACCAAACAUUAUUCCAAAACAUGAUCCUCCUAACAUGUUUCUAAAUUCCAUUCUAACACCCUAACAAAUCCAACAAUAAUCUAAAACACCAAUGAGUGCCUAGAUCAUCCUCCUCUCCUCGCCAUGAUUCCACGGAUCACACUUUGCUUUUACCUGCAUCAAAGAAAGAGAUGCAUAAGUAUUUCAUAAAUACUUAGUGAGGGCGAUCCUCCCAUCUACGAGCUAUACACACAAGCAAUGAGAUAACACCCACAUAUAUAACAAAAACAAACCAUCCAGCAAGCUAAACAUCCAAUAACACAUCCAGUUCACCUACAAAUCAUCACACAACAAGUCACUCAAUCCCAAUCGCUUAGAUAAGCUCAUGGUCACGCACUCACCUUAACAAGGUGAUUUGAGUUACAAAAACAACCAGGAAAUACUCUCUUCGUGACUGCAACAGCCAAACAACGCCCUACAACAAACCACACAAACACAAAUCUCUAAGAACCAAAAGGACAGAAACAUCAAAAAAACUACAGCCGCAGAAACGAAGCCCUAAAACAUAAACUAACCGUUAACUUCUUAAUCCCUACGGUGAAAAGCAAGAUACAGACGUCACGAAGCCCCCUACAAAAUUUGGUGCCGAUCGGAGAAACGAUGAAUCCACGAUCGCACUUACAAACUCCGCUGAUCCCAGUUCGCAACAGAGAAAACGCGUCUCACCAAACUGCAUAUAACUCACUGAGUAUUAAUCCAAAUUCACUUCUGUAAAAAGGAGAAUCAACGUACACGCCUUAAGAACAAACCUACCAAAAUUCAUUACCNNNNNNNNNNNNNNNNNNNNNNNNNNNNNNNNNNNNNNNNNNNNNNNNNNNNNNNNNNNNNNNNNNNNNNNNNNNNNNNNNNNNNNNNNNNNNNNNNNNNUUCGAUAAGAUUUGAUACGUCGUAACUCUAUUCUACCAGAACGUGACGGAUCUGCUUCUCUUGCCUUAAACACCAAAGCAAAGCUAACACUCUCCUUUUCACAAGUAAACUUCUCAUUUUCCUUUUCUCAACUCAACUCUCAGAAACAACAGCCACAAAACAAGAGAGAGAAGAAGCAUUCUUUAUAAAACUAGGGUUUUUGGUUUAAUUCUGAUUAAACCAGAAUUUACCUAAACCGACUUUAAUUAAACCUCUUUUGGUUCAAUUAAACAAAUCGACCAGUUUAGGAAAUCAACCGGAAUUAAACCGAUUCCACCCUAAUUCUUAUACACAUUCAAGUCUCAUAUUAAUUUUCAGAACACGGGCGUUACAAUUCUCCCCCACUAACAUGGAUUCGUCCUCGAAUCCUUCAACACCGUCCACCAGUUGGACUCCGUGCAACCGUCCCAAACGAUCUGCACUCCCACAACUGACUCCUCUGAGGCUCCUAUCUAAUCCAUAUACUCACGUUCCAGACCCUAUUUGCUCAUACUCACCCACUUCCCCCGUCCACAGGUCGCAACCCAUGAAUCAUACCGGCUCGUCCUCAGGCCUCUGCCUUAGACUACGGUAUCCAGGAAGUCUCACCACUCCCCCCGCUAUCAGGUCGCAACCCUCAAGUCAUACCGGCUCACUAUUAGGCCACCCGCCUUCUAGCUACGGUAUCCGGGAAGUCUCACGCUCGCUCUCGGGUCGUCACCCUCAAAUGUGCACUCGAAUCGUCAUCCGAAGCCAUCACAUCAUAUCCGAGCAAAUAAGUCUAAACGCCCCCGAGCAUAUCUCUCGAUUAGAUAUACCUCCCGUGGUCCACUUAUAGCAUCGCAAUGCUAUACUAACCACCACCCCGAGACUUUCCAAAAAUAGAACCGUCAAACCCGACACUUUCUAUUUUUAGAAACUCGCACAUAUUUCUCUUACACAUGACACAACAAGUCAAAUCAAGAAAUACUCACAUAGUCCAAGUACAACAUCACAAUGUCAUACCUACCAAACAAUAUUCCCACCUGGAAUAUCAUCUCUACCAUGACCAUUCUUCAAGUCAACUCCCAAACAAUCCCGUCACUCAGAGUAUUACAUAAUAGUCUCCAACUUAACUUCUCGGAAAUCCAUUUCCAACAAAACACCACCGAAGACCCGCGCUCCAGACUACAACCACCACAACCACAUAACUACUUCGAGCACCACGCUCGCAACCUCUAGCCUCCCACACUGCCACGAGCAGAAACUAGGAAAACAGAUGACUAGAGAAAAGAUAAAACAUCACAACUUACCGUGGAAUCUCAUUGAAGGCUCGAGAGGAUGAUCUAGGUCUCCAUGCUCACACAACUGAUUAAACACACAAAUCAAUCAGCAUGCAAUCCACAUCAUCAUUUUCCAUCAACGAAAUUCACACAUCACAUAAAAAAUAACCAAUUUACUCCCGCCCUAGAACCGUAAGGGCUCUGAUACCAAAUUGAAAGAACCCAUCCCAUUUUUUUUUCUUUUAAACAUGCAAACCGGAUUAACCCAAUUAAUUCGAACCAGCUAAACCGGCCAUAAUAAUUUAAAUCAAUUAAACCAAGCAAUCUCAUUAAAGUAAACCAACAAUAUUAUCCAGCGGAAGACUUAACCAAAAAUCCAAUAAUACGAUUCCAUUAAACCAACAAGUUCAACCAAACAUUAUUCCAAAACAUGAUCCUCCUAACAUGUUUCUAAAUUCCAUUCUAACACCCUAAUAAAUCCAACAAUAAUCUAAAACACCAAUGAGUGCCUAGAUCAUCCUCCUCUCCUCGCCAUGAUUCCACGGAUCACACUUUGCUUUUACCUGCAUCAAAGAAAGAGAUGCAUAAGUAUUUCAUAAAUACUUAGUGAGGGCGAUCCUACCAUCUACGAGCUAUACACACAAGCAAUGAGAUAACACCCACAUAUAUAACAAAAACAAACCAUCCAGCAAGCUAAACAUCCAAUAACACAUCCAGUUCACCUACAAAUCAUCACACAACAAGUCACUCAAUCCCAAUCGCUUAGAUAAGCUCAUGGUCACGCACUCACCUUAACAAGGUGAUUUGAGUUACAAAAACAACCAGGAAAUACUCUCUUCGUGACUGCAACAGCCAAACAACGCCCUACAACAAACCACACAAACACAAAUCUCUAAGAACCAAAAGGACAGAAACAUCAAAAAAACUACAGCCGCAGAAACGAAGCCCUAAAACAUAAACUAACCGUUAACUUCUUAAUCCCUACGGUGAAAAGCAAGAUACAGACGUCACGAAGCCCCCUACAAAAUUUGGUGCCGAUCGGAGAAACGAUGAAUCCACGAUCGCACUUACAAACUCCGCUGAUCCCAGUUCGCAACAGAGAAAACGCGUCUCACCAAACUGCAUAUAACUCACUGAGUAUUAAUCCAAAUUCACUUCUGUAAAAAGGAGAAUCAACGUACACGCCUUAAGAACAAACCUACCAAAAUUAAUUACCUUUCGAUAAGAUUUGAUACGUCGUAAAUCUAUUCUACCAGAACGUGACGGAUCUGCUUCUCUUGCCUUAAACACCAAAGCAAAGCUAACACUCUCCUUUUCACAAGUAAACUUCUCCUUUUCAUUUUCUCAACUCAACUCUCAGAAACAACAGCCACAAAACAAGAGAGAGAAGAAGCGUUCUUUAUAAAACUAGGGUUUUUGGUUUAAUUCUGAUUAAACCAGAAUUUACCUAAACCGACUUUAAU
rnacentral:lncRNA from 1 species